UUCACACUGAGGCUGUCGGGAUGCGAGGAGUUUAGGGAAACGUCACAUGGCUUCAUGGCACCACACUCACCUCCUGUGGCGUCUACACAUCCAGGUAAACCUGAAGCUACUUCACUGAAAACCACAGGGACAGGUGUGAAAACUGUUUGUUUAUUUGUGAUUUUAGCUGACCAUUGAAUUCUAAAAGGCUCUGCAAGCAAAAAAGUUUCUGCAAGUUUCAACAUUUGACUCCAGUGUUUUCAGAUGAGGUGGUGCUGAGGAGGAGCUGAUGUGCCUGACACCUCCACCUCCACAGAUUCAGCACUUCGACUCUUCUUCCUCUCCGUUGCUCCUGCACUGCACUUUCUGCUAGCAGAGCACAUUUGGUGAACGUAUGGAAGCUUUCUUGUGUGUCCCACAGCAGCUCAGAGGCAGCAGUGACAGCACAGGUGCUGCAGGUACCUCGGUCCUCCACGGCCACCCGAACCACAAACACACAACAGCAGGCAGGUUGGAGGAUGAUGUUGGCUUGUGUGGAGCGCCCAUGUGACCAGAGGUGCUGGAUGGACUAACGUUUCCCCUGCAUCCAUCACUGUGGCAGCACCAGACAAACCAAUCUCCUCCCUGUCUCUUCUCAUUCCAUCACACUCGUCCAGCCUGCAGCUUCAUCAGCUGGCCGGCUUUCAUGAAGACACACGAGGACGGAUCAUCUCGCAGUGAGACGGACUAACUCAGGUCCUCUCUGUCCCUGUGAGACCCGAGGCCUCGUCCUGUGGCUCUGCUCUGUCUGAAUGUUUCCUCAGGGUUUUACUCGAGCUGAGGAGACUGAAAGCGAUGCUGUUGGAUUGAUUAAUUAUCUUUGAAAUAUCGAUUAUUUUGAAUCAAGAAAACAACCGCAGACCUGUGUGUAAAGUUUGGUCGUGAGCCAGACGGCUGAUCAACCGUUUCUGCUGAUGGAUCAGACCAGACUUAAUAAAAUAAAAUAGCAACAAAACCGAGUUAGUUUGUUAAAGAGCCAGAGACACAAAGUCAAGUUAAUCUGCCCGCCUUAGCACACAAAACAGAAAAGAUUCAUUUCACAGCAAAUUCCACUGAUUUUACAAUUUGACCCACACAAG